UAGAGCCGUAUCUCCCUGCAGCUCUUGUCUGAUUUCCUACUGAAGCUAAGUAGGGUCAUGCCUGCUCAGUACCUGGAUGGGAGACCUCCUGGAGAAAACUGAGCUUGCUGUGU
rnacentral:rRNA from 1 species